UACCGUGCCGAGGGGAUGAAAGGUGAAGGGAGAGAAACCAUGAACGGAGGCGGUCGAGGUUUUGGUCAAACCCCGGCCGAUGGGUUUUCAGUAACUCCGGGACCUUUCCACAUGUAUGGACGUGAAGUGUGGGAGACAGUUUUGGAUCGUCCAGCUCUAAAUACCGCAUGGCUGUUCUAUCCAUUCCACAAACGUCUGGGAACCUGCCAAAGCGCUCCAAGCCUUGGUGGAACACCGACUGCAAGGAUACACGGAAGGAGCAAAAUCGGGCAUGGAGUAUCUUUCGCAAAUAUCCAACCACAACAAACCUAAUCCGGUUUAAAAAGGCUAGGGCUAAAGCCCGUUGGACACGGCGCCAAGCCAAAAAAGCGUCGUGGAAGGAUUUUGUCUCAAGUCUGAAUAACAACACACCUUCAAAGAUUGGACUAUGGAUGCGCUGUUUAUGGGUCGGCUCGACCAACUGCUUUGAAGAUACUCGAUCCGAUACAUCACCAGGGACUACGCUUAGUCCUUGGCGCAUUCAGAACAUCGCCAGUGGAGAGUUUGUAUGUCGAGUCGAACCACUGGUCACUCGCAAGACGGAGGUUUUUUCUUAGCGCCACAUAUGCACUUAGGGUUCGGUGUUACCCCCAACAUCCAGCGCUCGAAUGUGUGCAGGACACUCAAUACAAGCAACAAUUUUUGAAUAAACCGUCACAAUUACUUCCUUUUUGUAUGCGCAUCUCUCAGGAAGUUAAACGAUGCAACUUUGCUGAAUACGAUUACAAGGUAAUGGAAUUUAAGCAAAGGCUGCCUCCAUGGCAUCCACCUCCAAGUUUCAACAAGUCACUAACAAAAUUCAAGAAAUCUGACACCUCACAGGCUGUUUUGUUACAAGAAUU